rnacentral:misc_RNA from 1 species
CUGAAACUUCAUUAAAACCGGAAGGGAGACUCUGUGACCUGAUAUUUGUUGGGAAACAAGGCCUGUUUAUUGAAGAACUACAGUUGUAUUCAGACAAAGACUGUGAAACUGAAGAGAAAUCUCUUGAAUUGUAAUAGCUUUGCGAGAUUCCUCUGUAUACAACUGCGUCGUCUUCAUUUUGGCCAUCAAGGUUGUCAUUUAUAUGGCACCCCACUAAAUACCCAGCAAUGUCAGCU